AAUGAACACACUGACCA
rnacentral:misc_RNA from 1 species